rnacentral:rRNA from 1 species
CCUACGGGGGGCAGCAGUGAGGAAUAUUGGUCAAUGGGCGGGAGCCUGAACCAGCCAAGUCGCGUGAGGGAAGACGGUCCUAUGGAUUGUAAACCUCUUUAGGCGGGGAGCAAUGCCGGGCACGCGUGCCCGGAGGGAGAGUACCCGCAGAAUAAGCAUCGGCUAACUCCGUGCCAGCCGCCGCGGUAAUACGGAGGAUGCGAGCGUUAUCCGGAUUUAUUGGGUUUAAAGGGUGCGUAGGCGGAUUUUUAAGUCAGCGGUAAAAUGUCCGGGCUCAACCCGGGCCGGCCGUUGAAACUGGGGAUCUUGAGUGGGCGAGAAGUAUGCGGAAUGCGUGGUGUAGCGGUGAAAUGCAUAGAUAUCACGCAGAACUCCGAUUGCGAAGGCAGCAUACCGGCGCCCGACUGACGCUGAGGCACGAAAGCGUGGGGAUCGAACAGGAUUAGAUACCCGAGUAGUC